UAAAUAUACAAAAAAAAUUUAGCUGGGUUUGGGUGGUGGGUGUCUGUAAUCCCAGUUACUUGGGAGGCUGAGGCAGAAGAAUUGCUUGAACCUGGGAGGUGGAGGUUGCAGUGAACCGAGAUCAUGCCACUGCACCCCACCCUGGGUGACGGAGUGAGACUAUGUCUCAAAAAACAAAACAAAAACAAAAAACAACAACAAAACAAAACAAGAUACUUCAUUUCUUUAUAAAUUGCCCAGUCUCAGAUAUUCCUUUGUAGCAAUGCAAAUUGAC
rnacentral:lncRNA from 1 species